GCCAAUGACGAAGCUUGGAAUGUCCACCAGGGAGGUGGGUGGGGCCAAAGAGCCAAACAGGUGUCUGAAGGUGGGAGACAUUGAGAGGCUAGGUGGCAGAUGGAGGCGUAGGGCAUGUCUGCAUCCCUGACCUGCCUAACUGGGACAGGGGGGGCAGGCUGAGCCUGGCCAGGGGAGUAGGGACAAGAUCUCAGAGAGAGCUGGUCCAGCAGCCUCCCCUACAGUGUGGACCGGACACGUCCGCCGGGCCAGGCACUGAGAAGAUAUAGCGGAGGAGUCACAGCCAGGCCCAGACAACAGCACUCACAUCCCCUUCCCUGAGAUGUCGGGGAUAAUGCCAGGAGCCAUGAAUGAGGGUAUUAAUUAUCAUCAAUAAUAAAUAGGUACAGAUUGAUGCUCAAAA